GGGCGAUUAGCUCAGUUGGUUAGAGCACCUCCCUUACAAGGAGGGGGUCAACGGUUCGAGUCCGUUAUCGCCCACCA
rnacentral:tRNA from 1 species